GCCUUCGUGGUGUAACGGUAGCACACUCGGAUCGUAUUCGGUAGGUCCAAGUUCGAGUCCCGGCGAGGGCA
rnacentral:tRNA from 1 species